rnacentral:rRNA from 1 species
UACGGAGGGUGCGAGCGUUGUCCGGAAUCAUUGGGCGUAAAGGGCGCGUAGGUGGCCCGGUCAGUUCGUGGUGAAAGCGCGGGGCUCAACCCUGCGUCGGCCAUGAAUACUGCCGCGGCUGGAGCACUGUAGAGGCAGGCGGAAUUCCGGGUGUAGCGGUGGAAUGCGUAGAGAUCCGGAAGAACACCGGUGGCGAAGGCGGGUCUCUGGGCAGUAACUGACGCUGAGGAGCGAAAGCGUGGGGAGCGAACAGG